UACGUAGGCAGCAAGCGUUGUUCGGAAUUACUGGGCGUAAAGAGUAUGUAGGCGGUGCUCUAAGUUUGGUGUGAAAUCUCCCGGCUUAACCGGGAGGGUGCAUUGAAUACUGGGGUGCUAGAGGAUGGGAGAGGUAAGCGGAAUUCCUGGUGUAGCGGUGAAAUGCGUAGAUAUCAGGAGGAACACCUGUGGUGUAGACAGCUUGCUGGACCAUUUCUGACGCUGAGAUACGAAAGCGUGGGUAGCAAACAGG
rnacentral:rRNA from 1 species